CAGUAGCCACGGUAAAACGAAGGGUGCAAGCGUUACUCGGAAUUACUGGGCGUAAAGCGUGCGUAGGUGGUGGUUUAAGUCCGUUGUGAAAGCCCUGGGCUCAACCUGGGAAUUGCAGUGGAUACUGGGUCACUAGAGUGUGGUAGAGGAUAGUGGAAUUUCCGGUGUAGCAGUGAAAUGCGUAGAGAUCGGAAGGAACAUCUGUGGCGAAGGCAGCCAUCUGGCCUAAUACUGACGCUGAGGUACGAAAGCAUGGGGAGCAAACAGGAUUAGAUACCCGUGUAGUCCCUGUCUCUUAUAC
rnacentral:rRNA from 1 species